AUUGAACGCUGGCGGCAGGCCUAACACAUGCAAGUCGAGCGGAUGAAGGGAGCUUGCUCCUGGAUUCAGCGGCGGACGGGUGAGUAAUGCCUAGGAAUCUGCCUGGUAGUGGAGGAUAACGUCCGGAAACGGGCGCUAGUACCGCAUACGUCCUGAGGGAGAAAGUGGGGGAUCUUCGGACCUCACGCUAUCAGAUGAGCCUAGGUCGGAUUAGCUAGUUGGUGGGGUAAAGGCCUACCAAGGCGACGAUCCGUAACUGGUCUGAGAGGAUGAUCAGUCACACUGGAACUGAGACACGGUCCAGACUCCUACGGGAGGCAGCAGUGGGGAAUAUUGGACAAAGGGCGAAAGCCUGAUCCAGCCAUGCCGCGUGUGUGAAGAAGGUCUUCGGAUUGUAAAGCACUUUAAGUUGGGAGGAAGGGCAGUAAGUUAAUACCUUGCUGUUUUGACGUUACCAACAGAAUAAGCACCGGCUAACUUCGUG
rnacentral:rRNA from 1 species